GUAGUUUGACUCCGUGGCUACGAGGACGACGCUGGCGGCGUGCUUAACACAUGCAAGUCGAACGGAAGGCUCCUUGCUUGCAAGGGGUACUCGAGUGGCGAACGGGUGAGUAACACGUGGGUGAUCUGCCUUGCACUUCGGGAUAAGCCUGGGAAACUGGGUCUAAUACCGGAUAGGACCAUGCUUUAGUGUGUGUGGUGGAAAGUUUUUCGGUGCAAGAUGAGCCCGCGGCCUAUCAGCUUGUUGGUGGGGUAAUGGCCUACCAAGGCGACGACGGGUAGCCGGCCUGAGAGGGUGUACGGCCACAUUGGGACUGAGACACGGCCCAGACUCCUACGGGAGGCAGCAGUGGGGAAUAUUGCACAAUGGGCGCAAGCCUGAUGCAGCGACGCCACGUGGGGGAUGACGGCCUUCGGGUUGUAAACUCCUUUCGCUAGGGAAGAAGCCACUUUGUGGUGACGGUACCUGGAUAAGAAGCACCGGCUAACUACGUG
rnacentral:rRNA from 1 species